UUUUGUAUAAAUACCGACUGUACUCCACCUACAAAACCACAUCGUAGCAAGCGAAUCCAACAGAAAACAGAUCAUAUUUUUCAGCUCUAAACCAAUUCCCAUAAUGAAUUUCUUCAAAAUAGUAUUCAUGAUCGCUGCCGCUGUUGCCGCUUUCAGCGGCUAUUACGUAGAAGCUGCCCUCAGUCCUACUGCCAGUCCUCAGGUCAACUAUUUGGGACCCACAAGCAAAUACGAUUGAAAAAAGGGAUAUGACUUUCUUGUAUAUUGUCGAAAUGAAAUGAGAAAAUAAAAUUUAUUUAGAAAAAA